rnacentral:miRNA from 1 species
GAAGAUCUUGGCAAGAUCUUGUAAGAUCUUGCAUGAUCUUGGAAGAUCAUGGCAAGGUCUUGGCAAGACACUAAUCUUGGCAAGAUCUUGCCAAGAUAUUACCAAUAUCUUGCCAAGAUUAUUCAAUCUUGCCAUACUUGCCAAAAUCUUGCCAAGAUUGUCUGAAAUUCUUGUCAAGAUCUUGCCAAAAUCUUUC